rnacentral:rRNA from 1 species
GACGUAGGUGGCGAGCGUUAUCCGGAAUUAUUGGGCGUAAAGAGCGCGCAGGUGGUUGAUUAAGUCUGAUGUGAAAGCCCACAGCUUAACCGUGGAGGGUCAUUGGAAACUGGUCGACUUGAGUGCAGAAGAGGGAAGUGGAAUUCCAUGUGUAGCGGUGAAAUGCGUAGAGAUAUGGAGGAACACCAGUGGCGAAGGCGGCUUCCUGGUCUGUAACUGACACUGAGGCGCGAAAGCGUGGGGAGCAAACAGGAUUAGA